ensembl:lncRNA
CCACAGGAUGGUUGCGCAUUGUCAUUUGCAGGGGGAAAGAGCUGGUAGGCUUCCGCUGGUGAGUAACAGUUGUCUCCAGUGAGUCGGGACCAGUCUGUUCUACCUUCAUAUCCACUCAACACACAGUACAGCAGUCAGCUCUUCCUAGUAUUAAAGCUCUGAGAAUGUUCAUGGGCCAUUUUGGAGGUCUUGACAGCCUCUUGGCUUUUAUUUACCUUCGUUUCCAGGAUUCUGAUAGUCUACAGAGGAAAAGGUAGCGACUUUUAAGGAAAAAAACCUGUUCUAGAGCUAUCAUUCUGCUACAUUUCAGUGUUUCCCGUGUACCUUGGUGGAUAAAGAUGCAGAGCAAGUGUUUUGAGAGCAUGAUGGAAGGUACAGGGCAAAGGAACAGAUGCCUAAUUCUCCAUCAUCCUCUGUAGUCUCCCAUCUCCUCUAAAUCGCAGAUCAGCUUCUUUUUUCCUUUCUCCUCUUUUUCUUUUACUCCCCAUAUAGAACCCUCUCUUGUGCUUUACCCUGUUUCACAUCACAUUUCUUUUUCUUCCAUUUCUCCCUCCUAGUCUCCUCUCUUCUUUCUGGCUGCUGCCAUCCCAUCAGCAUUCUUUUUCCCACAAAUCAAAGUCGCCUUAUGGACCCUCUUGUGUUCCUCCUGUGUACAGGUACAAAAGCCAUGAAGUCUGAGAUGCUGCAGAAACACUUCGUAGGAGACCGCUCCUCAGUGCAGGUCCCGGCCCCACAUCUGCAGUGCUCAGGAUGUGCUAACAAGCUGCGCCAAUGCCGGGGGUGGGCAGGAGUGCCCAGUACUCUCCUGACUGAGAUGCCCUCUUCCCCAGGCACCUGCUCUGCUGCUGGCCAGUGGGCACCUGGUAUCUGCAACUUUUCCGCAGACAUGAGAGGGGAAAGCUUCUUCGCUUUCCCGGAGCUCACCUCCAGAGAACUGCAUGUCCUGUAUGAGCCGAUGAGGGGAGCUCAGCAGUCAACAGCACUCAACAGAAUGUACAUAAACCACAUCCCAGGUCCUGCGCGAGGUGCUCCAUUUCUCCGUCAAUCUUCUGAGUUUCAAAGCAACAUAGACAAAUGCCUGUGA